CAGCAGAGUCCAGGAGCUGGUUUUAGGGCAGGUUGCAGGUGACAGAACUGUGCCACUCCAGGCCGUGAAGUGCAUACCAGAAGGGCCCUGAGCACUUCACAGCCUAGCGUGUGUUAUGUGAGUACCCUCUUGGUGAAUGAAUUACAAAGAUGUGUCCCUUCUUUUGAGCUGACACAAGAUUUGGGAAGGAGAAUGGUGUCUGGACUUCAGCCAUCGAUGCCCCACCUCAGCUGGGUCCCCUUGUUGAGUGUACAUACUUUAUAACAAAACACGGGGAGAGAUUCUUAUCUACCCUGCUCUAGGUGCAUCCCCUUUUCACCAAUGAGAUGAUUAAGUAUUAGAAGGUGUGAUGGUUAAUACUGAGUGUCAACUUGAUUGGAUUGAAGGAAGCAAUGUAUUGUUCCUAAGGUGUUGCUGAAGGAGAUUAGCAUUUGAGUCAGUGAGCUGGGAGAGGCAGACCCACUGUCAAUAUGGGUGGGCACCAUCUAAUCAGCACAUCUAAUCUAGCUGCCAGCACAGCUAGAAUAAAGCAGCAAAAGAAAGUGAAAUGAGCAGACUUGCUAAGUCUUCCGGCCUUCAUCUUUCUUCCGUGCUGGAUGCUUCCUGCCCUCACACAUUAGGCUCCAAGUUCUUCAGCUUGUGAACUCUUGGACCUACACCAGUGAUUUGCCAAGGACUCUUGAGCCUUCAGCCACGGACUGAAGGCUACACUGUCGGCUUCCUUACUUUUGAGGUUUUGGACUUGACUGGCUCCUCGGCUUGCAGAUGGCCUAUUGUGGGACUUCACUCUGUGAUCAUGAAAAUUUGCAUUCUCCCUGUUGUGGAAAUAGGUGGGGAUUUCGGGGCAGGCUGAAGAGGGAGCUAUUUUUUUCAGAGAUCUGCGCAUUCCCCCUGUGAGGGAGGCUGACAAGGACCAUGGAACUCAACCAUUGUACGCAGUAAGACCACCACGCAAAUGCAGCCACACUUUCUAUGCUGCUCUUCCCCUUCGCUCUCUUCCUUGAGACUUCUCAGUACCACUCUGUUCUUCCUACCUACACCCCUUACUUCUCUCUAUUUCUGCAAAGUGAGGUCUUAUGGAGCUGGCCUGGUUUCAGCAUCCUUGCUACCCCUUUCUAGAAUGUUCCCAGAAGAGGAGAGUCACAACCAAUCUUGCCUUUUCUUCUGCAUGUCUCCAGUGACGUCUGGCUGGGCUCAGUCACUUCCUGGGUAUUUUCCCACAACAGAAAUCCUCGCGGUAACUCUGUAAAACCCAGCUCAGCUCCUAUAACCGAGAUGAUACACUUUUUAAAUUACGUUCUCAUCAUUUCCAAUAAAUUUCUUUCUAAAAUACCACUUUGAAGACACGUAGCUUCCUAUCAUUAUAAUUUUUUUUUCAUCUAUUUGGUUCCAGGAAUUGAAUUUACUCACAGGCAUCAUUGCCCAACUUCAUGUCUGAAGGAUUUAAGACAAAGCUUUUCAAUCUGAAAUGACAGGCUGGAAAACCAAGUGCCAGUUUUCCACGCAAAAAAUCAGAGAUCCAUGCAACAGCUUCUUUGGCUCUGGCAGAAUGGGAAAAUUAGUGAUUGAACACUUCUCUGGGCUCAGCCCCCUCGCCCACCAAUUUGUAAAUUAGGCUGAGUUAUUUGCAUUUUUACAGUCUCAAACCGUUUGUAGAAACAUGCCAUUUUGCCUUUUUAAACCCAAAUAAUAACGUUGCAAGAAUUUGGCAGUUAAAUGACAUCUAGCUCUCUGAUUAAAGAGAGGAAAGGAAAGCCAUUAGUCUCAUAUCCAUCCUUAGUGGGGAAAUACAUCUUUAAGAAAUUAUGGCACAGAAUAGUUCCAUUUACAAUCAUUCAAGUUUUUUUUUUUCUGAGAAGUCGUGCUUGAUAUCAAUUAUCCAUUUUUCCCUUCUCUUUGUGCUGUCCUCAGAAUUCUUCCUGAGAAGUUAACUUUAAUCUUCUGCUUUGUUUCAAAGCCUGUAUUAGAUUAACCUCUCUUUUUCUUUUUAUUUGGGAAUGACUAAUUAGCAAGCAGAAAUUAAAUUUAAAAAUUUAACUUCUCUGCACAGUAGAUUUCUCAAGAUCCUCAGACCCUGUAGGCAGUAUGAAUGGAUUCUCCUGUAAAGCCUUUAUUUCAUGUUGUGUUGUGGUUUCCAGGAAGACAAAAUGCACUUUGGACCACAUCAACUUGAAUAACAUACUGGGUGCUCUAAAUUGACUCUUCUGUCCCUUCAGGAUGAGAUUUCAGUGAUUUUAAAGUCCAGAGUAUUGGAAAGAGAAGAAGAAAUUUUCAUAGCCUGGUGGACAAAGGAAUUUGAUAGAAAAUACUGUAGAUAAUUGUAGAAUUCAGGACUAGAAAGCCCAGAUAUGUACAGGAACUUCUUUCUUUUAAAGAUUAAGACAAUGAGAUGCAAACCUAAUUAUAGUCGAAGCCCGAAGGUUUAUACAGGUCUGGUUCCAUUUCCCUAUUAGUACUUUCUCGAAUGCACUAUCCUCUGGAUACAGGCACAGGAAUGUAUGAUCCAGUUAUAUCAGCCUGGUCUAAAUUUCAAUUAAUUGCGCCUUCUUACCAACUGUCACCCCAAGUAUCCCUCAAUACCACAGUUCAUUCCUUUCUGAUUUCCAUUUUCUUCUUUUAUCUUCCUUUCCCUCCCAUCUUUUAUUUUAUUUUGCUCUGAUUGUUUUCACUUAGUAAAAGCACCACCGUUUGUUGCUUCCUGGGGAAUGGGCACUUCUCUCAAUUGUGGCUCCCAGCCUCUGGUCUUUUCUGUCUCUUCUCAGGAUCUACCCACAUCUUUAUCUCAAGCUUUCAUUUCUCUCAGUCACUAGUCCAAAAGAACAAGGCUCCCUAACGCUUGCUACCAACAGGUGCCAGUAAAAGAUGCCUCCCUUUGUUCUAUAUGAAUUUAGAUAAAAUGUUUGUUUUACAUAUGAAUUGGUAUCAAAAAGCAAGUUGGUUCUGUCUAAGAAAGCAAAGGCCUGAAUAAGAGCAAGGUAAUAGAUUUAAGGAUGGAGAUGAUCAUGAUGAUGCCAUUGAUAAUUACAAUACCUUGCAUUUCUAUUGUUCUUUCCAGCAUGCAAAGCUCUUUCAAUUUCAUCAUCUCAUCCCACCAUCACAACGCUGGGAGAUCAGUUAGGUUCGUAUUAGUUUUGCCAUUUUAUAUGAAAGCCAAGUCUUAGGUAAGUAAACUGAUGUGUCUCAGGACCUCACUCCAGGAAAGAUAAAAUCAGGUUGAAACCCAUGUUUUAGGACUCUGAGCCCCAGAAUGUUCUGCUUCUCUGGAAUACAGUCUGAUGAGAUUGUGAAUCAAAAAGAUACCUCACUGCCCGGUAGUAUAGGUAAUUAUAUUAUCACAAAGGUUUUGGGUAAACAUAAUGGAGAAAACAAUGUUGACAGGCCGAUAAAACGGGAAUAGCUCACUAAAGGAGAUUGUGUAAUCUUUCCUUCAUGGAGGAUUUAUCUGAAACAACAGGUUUCUAGUAUUCCCUACAGCAUUCCAAACCCUGUUUCCAGAAGGCAAUUUGCCAAUAGGUAUCAAAAACAUUAAAGGCAUGACUAAUGGUAACCUCAGACAAAUGACUCAGCAUCUCCAAAGUCAGUUUCCUCAUCUGUAAAUAGUAGGGUUUGGGGGAGGAUUAAAUAAUGUUUUGUAAAGUACCUGGCACAGAGGGUGUAUUUGAUAAAUAUUGUCAAUGUUUUAAGAGUAAUGAUGACAAUAUUUUCACUUGUAAGAGGAAAUAAGCACAAAGAUUUUGUGAUAAAGACAUUCUUUGCUGUGUUUUUACAAGUACUAGUGAAAAGUUGGAAACAACCUGAUUCCAGCAGUAGAGAAUUGGUAGAAUAGGGUCUGCUGGUAUAUCUAGCAGCCUAGAUUAUUAUUAGGCAGUCAUUUAAAAGGACACAAAAUAUGUUAUUACAUGGCAAGAUGAUCUUGAUUUAUUGUAUUUUAAAAAACAAGUUUAGAAUGUUAAAUACAGUGUGCUUUUUUGUUAUACGUAGAUAUGGGUAAAAAUCUGGAUGGGUUUACAUCACUAUCUUAACAGGUAUUGAUCCUGGAGAGAGAAUUAUGAAUACCUUUUACUUUAUUAUUUUUGCUUCUCUGUAUUUAAGUUUUUUCAACAAUAACAUGUACAUCAUUUAAAAUAAAAUUAUAUUUAUUUUUAAAUUUCAGGCUUUCUUACUUACCCUUCUCUCCCUCAGUUUAUCAGAUCUGUGCUGCAGGGCACUAGAAACAGACAACAUUCACUAAAAGCCAUUUACUAAACAUUCACUAAAAUAACAAGUAUUAAUACUUUUUGAGUAUCUACUAUUGCCCAGGCACUGUUCUAACCAGAUGGACAAAACUGCCAUCAGAGAGCUUAGCUUUAGUGGAGGGAAGACCCAAAAUAGACACAUGAAGAAGGGAGAGUAGACCCCACAUCCAGAAAAGAUGAAAAUUUCUAUUCCUCCUAGCAACGCUUGCUUCCCACUCCUACAAGCACCCUGCAGUCUGAGAUCCAACGUCAUUUCUUUGGAUAAAGGCCACUUAUCUUGUAAAGCGAACAGUCUGCUUAAGUGUAACAUGCUGUGUCAAUACUGGUAAUUUAUACCUUGGUGUGAGUCAUUUCCUGAGAAUAGAUUAUCUGACCGUAAAGGGAAAAGGGCUGGGAGUGAAAGUACACUGAAGAAAAGGCAAGGGAGGGGAUGGGAGAAGGAAUCUGGCUUCAAAGCUUCCCAAUUUUAGAAAAGUAGAGGAUGUGAAAAUGGAGUGGGCUGGGGUGGAGUGUUGGUGUGCCACCGACACAAGUGGGGAAGGAAUGUGCAAGUGGGGUCAAACUUCACACAUUUCUCUAGGUUUUUAGGAACUGAUCUUGGUUGUAGCAGCUUUUCUAUAGAUCUGAACACAAAUGUCACUUCCUCUUCUCUUUCCCUUUUCUUUUCUCUUCCUCUGACUUCCCGUUUUAUUGUUCACCAGCAAAUCCAUCUUUUUUUUUUUUUUUUUUUUUGAGAUGGAGUCUCGCUCUGUCGCCCAGGCUGGAGUAUAGUGGUGCUAUCUCGGCUCACUGCAACAUCUCUCUCUCGGGUUCAAGCGAUUCUCCUGCCUCAGCCUCCCUAGUAGCUGGGACUACAGGUGCCCGUCACCACACUCGGCUAAUUUUUGUAUUUAUCGUAGAGAUGGGGUUUCGCCACAUUGGCCAGGCUUGUCUCGAACUUCAGGUGAUCCACCUGCCUUGGCCUCCCAAAGUGUUGGGAUUGCAGGUGUGAACCACCGUGACUGGCCAAAUCCACCUUUUACAUGUUGUUGUUUUUUAAUGUUUGAUUUUUUAAUUUUUGAGAUGGAGUCUCGCUUUGUC
rnacentral:lncRNA from 1 species